rnacentral:rRNA from 1 species
GGUUAAGCGACUAAGCGUACACGGUGGAUGCCCUGGCAGUCAGAGGCGAUGAAGGACGUGCUAAUCUGCGAUAAGCGUCGGUAAGGUGAUAUGAACCGUUAUAACCGGCGAUUUCCGAAUGGGGAAACCCAGUGUGUUUCGACACACUAUCAUUAACUGAAUCCAUAGGUUAAUGAGGCGAACCGGGGGAACUGAAACAUCUAAGUACCCCGAGGAAAAGAAAUCAACCGAGAUUCCCCCAGUAGCGGCGAGCGAACGGGGAGGAGCCCAGAGCCUGAAUCAGUAUGUGUGUUAGUGGAAGCGUCUGGAAAGGCGCGCGAUACAGGGUGACAGCCCCGUACACAAAAAUGCACAUACUGUGAGCUCGAUGAGUAGGGCGGGACACGUGGUAUCCUGUCUGAAUAUGGGGGGACCAUCCUCCAAGGCUAAAUACUCCUGACUGACCGAUAGUGAACCAGUACCGUGAGGGAAAGGCGAAAAGAACCCCGGCGAGGGGAGUGAAAAAGAACCUGAAACCGUGUACGUACAAGCAGUGGGAGCACGCUUAGGCGUGUGACUGCGUACCUUUUGUAUAAUGGGUCAGCGACUUAUAUUCUGUAGCAAGGUUAACCGAAUAGGGGAGCCGAAGGGAAACCGAGUCUUAACUGGGCGUUAAGUUGCAGGGUAUAGACCCGAAACCCGGUGAUCUAGCCAUGGGCAGGUUGAAGGUUGGGUAACACUAACUGGAGGACCGAACCGACUAAUGUUGAAAAAUUAGCGGAUGACUUGUGGCUGGGGGUGAAAGGCCAAUCAAACCGGGAGAUAGCUGGUUCUCCCCGAAAGCUAUUUAGGUAGCGCCUCGUGAAUUCAUCUCCGGGGGUAGAGCACUGUUUCGGCAAGGGGGUCAUCCCGACUUACCAACCCGAUGCAAACUGCGAAUACCGGAGAAUGUUAUCACGGGAGACACACGGCGGGUGCUAACGUCCGUCGUGAAGAGGGAAACAACCCAGACCGCCAGCUAAGGUCCCAAAGUCAUGGUUAAGUGGGAAACGAUGUGGGAAGGCCCAGACAGCCAGGAUGUUGGCUUAGAAGCAGCCAUCAUUUAAAGAAAGCGUAAUAGCUCACUGGUCGAGUCGGCCUGCGCGGAAGAUGUAACGGGGCUAAACCAUGCACCGAAGCUGCGGCAGCGACGCUUAUGCGUUGUUGGGUAGGGGAGCGUUCUGUAAGCCUGUGAAGGUGUGCUGUGAGGCAUGCUGGAGGUAUCAGAAGUGCGAAUGCUGACAUAAGUAACGAUAAAGCGGGUGAAAAGCCCGCUCGCCGGAAGACCAAGGGUUCCUGUCCAACGUUAAUCGGGGCAGGGUGAGUCGACCCCUAAGGCGAGGCCGAAAGGCGUAGUCGAUGGGAAACAGGUUAAUAUUCCUGUACUUGGUGUUACUGCGAAGGGGGGACGGAGAAGGCUAUGUUGGCCGGGCGACGGUUGUCCCGGUUUAAGCGUGUAGGCUGGUUUUCCAGGCAAAUCCGGAAAAUCAAGGCUGAGGCGUGAUGACGAGGCACUACGGUGCUGAAGCAACAAAUGCCCUGCUUCCAGGAAAAGCCUCUAAGCAUCAGGUAACAUCAAAUCGUACCCCAAACCGACACAGGUGGUCAGGUAGAGAAUACCAAGGCGCUUGAGAGAACUCGGGUGAAGGAACUAGGCAAAAUGGUGCCGUAACUUCGGGAGAAGGCACGCUGAUACGUAGGUGAAGCGACUUGCUCGUGGAGCUGAAAUCAGUCGAAGAUACCAGCUGGCUGCAACUGUUUAUUAAAAACACAGCACUGUGCAAACACGAAAGUGGACGUAUACGGUGUGACGCCUGCCCGGUGCCGGAAGGUUAAUUGAUGGGGUCAGCGCAAGCGAAGCUCUUGAUCGAAGCCCCGGUAAACGGCGGCCGUAACUAUAACGGUCCUAAGGUAGCGAAAUUCCUUGUCGGGUAAGUUCCGACCUGCACGAAUGGCGUAAUGAUGGCCAGGCUGUCUCCACCCGAGACUCAGUGAAAUUGAACUCGCUGUGAAGAUGCAGUGUACCCGCGGCAAGACGGAAAGACCCCGUGAACCUUUACUAUAGCUUGACACUGAACAUUGAGCCUUGAUGUGUAGGAUAGGUGGGAGGCUUUGAAGUGUGGACGCCAGUCUGCAUGGAGCCGACCUUGAAAUACCACCCUUUAAUGUUUGAUGUUCUAACGUGGACCCGUGAUCCGGGUUGCGGACAGUGUCUGGUGGGUAGUUUGACUGGGGCGGUCUCCUCCUAAAGAGUAACGGAGGAGCACGAAGGUUGGCUAAUCCUGGUCGGACAUCAGGAGGUUAGUGCAAUGGCAUAAGCCAGCUUGACUGCGAGCGUGACGGCGCGAGCAGGUGCGAAAGCAGGUCAUAGUGAUCCGGUGGUUCUGAAUGGAAGGGCCAUCGCUCAACGGAUAAAAGGUACUCCGGGGAUAACAGGCUGAUACCGCCCAAGAGUUCAUAUCGACGGCGGUGUUUGGCACCUCGAUGUCGGCUCAUCACAUCCUGGGGCUGAAGUAGGUCCCAAGGGUAUGGCUGUUCGCCAUUUAAAGUGGUACGCGAGCUGGGUUUAGAACGUCGUGAGACAGUUCGGUCCCUAUCUGCCGUGGGCGCUGGAGAACUGAGGGGGGCUGCUCCUAGUACGAGAGGACCGGAGUGGACGCAUCACUGGUGUUCGGGUUGUCAUGCCAAUGGCACUGCCCGGUAGCUAAAUGCGGAAGAGAUAAGUGCUGAAAGCAUCUAAGCACGAAACUUGCCCCGAGAUGAGUUCUCCCUGACUCCUUGAGAGUCCUGAAGGAACGUUGAAGACGACGACGUUGAUAGGCCGGGUGUGUAAGCGCAGCGAUGCGUUGAGCUAACCGGUACUAAUGAACCGUGAGGCUUAACCUU